rnacentral:rRNA from 1 species
UACGUAGGGUGCAAGGCGUUGUCCGGAAUUAUUGGGCGUAAAGAGCUCGUAGGCGGUUUGUCGCGUCUGCUGUGAAAACUCAGGGCUUAACCCUGAGCCUGCAGUGGGUACGGGCAGACUAGAGUGUGGUAGGGGAGAUCGGAAUUCCUGGUGUAGCGGUGGAAUGCGCAGAUAUCAGGAGGAACACCGAUGGCGAAGGCAGGUCUCUGGGCCAUUACUGACGCUGAGGCGCGAAAGCGUGGGGAGCAAACGGG